rnacentral:rRNA from 1 species
CGGAGGGUGCAAGCGUUAUCCGGAUUUACUAGGUUUAAAGGGUGCGUAGGUGGGCGAGAAAGUCAGUGGUGAAAUCUCCGGGCUUAACCCGGAAACUGCCAUUGAUACUAUUUGUCUUGAAUACUUUGGAGGUAAGCGGAAUAUGUCAUGUAGCGGUGAAAUGCUUAGAUAUGACAUAGAACACCAAUUGCGCAGGCAGCUUACUACACAGUAAUUGACACUGAGGCACGAAAGCGUGGGGAUCAAACAGGAUUAGAUACCCUGGUAGUCCACGCCCUAAACGAUGGAUACUCGACAUUAGCGAUAUACAGUUAGUGUCUGAGCGAAAGCAUUAAGUAUCCCACCUGGGAAGUACGAUCGCAAGAUUG